ACUGGGGCACGAACCCGUGUCCCCUGCAUCGGCAGGCGGACUCUCAACCACUGCGCCACCAGGGAAGCCCGUUCUGCACAUUUUAAUAAACAUAAAGCAGGCCUCUGAAGAGAAGGCCAGAAAAGUCUACUCUGGAUUAACAGAGUUGACUCCAUUGAACAUUUAAGGGCUAAGCUACCGCCAAGCGUGCCUGCCGAUCUGCUAGACCGCACAGCUCCCGAUCUCACCUGCUUUCAAGAAAUAGCAAUUCUGUGAUCUAACAUAUCAACAGUUGUUAUCUGGAUAGAGAGCUUAUUGGUCAUUUUGAGGAAAUAAAGAGGUUCUCCUCCAAAGGCUCCUAGUCCAAUUGGAUAUGCAAACCCAGAUGUAAGGACUACACAAAGGCACAGCACCUUGCCAGGCACUCAAACUUGGAAGAGGACAUCAGCCCUCCUCUAGUCUCCAGAGACAGGUAUUGGAACUUCUUCAAGACCUUUUCAGGAGGAUGAUAGAAAUAUGGAGGCCACCCACUCCUCAGUCCUCUCCACUGUCAUGUCAUCAUCCUAAUCCAAGCCCACCUUGGAGUACUUCUCGUUGGCCUCCCUGUUUCCAUUCUCGCCUUCCUAGAAUCCAUUCUCUACACAGCAACCCAGAAUGAUGCAAAAGAUGU